rnacentral:rRNA from 1 species
CCUACGGGCGGCAGUAGUGAGGAAUAUUGGUCAAUGGACGAGAGUCUGAACCAGCCAAGUAGCGUGAAGGAUGACUGCCCUAUGGGUUGUAAACUUCUUUUAUAUGGGAAUAAAAUGUUCCACGUGUGGGAUUUUGUAUGUACCAUAUGAAUAAGGAUCGGCUAACUCCGUGCCAGCAGCCGCGGUAAUACGGAGGAUCCGAGCGUUAUCCGGAUUUAUUGGGUUUAAAGGGAGCGUAGGUGGAUUGUUAAGUCAGUUGUGAAAGUUUGCGGCUCAACCGUAAAAUUGCAGUUGAAACUGGCAGUCUUGAGUACAGUAGAGGUGAGCGGAAGUCGUGGUGUAGCGGUGAAAUGCUUAGAUAUCACGAAGAACUCCGAUUGCGAAGGCAGUUCACUGGACUGCAACUGACACUGAGGCUCGAAAGUGUGGGUAUCAAACAGGAUUAGAUACCCCAGUAGUC